CCAUAGACUUCAUCUGUGGGAGGAGUCAGAAUGGUUUCCUAGCAAUAAUGCCUAGUGUUAGAACUGUCAAUUACUAGACAAACCAGGCUAAAGGAGUGUCAAGGGAUACUUACUGAGGCCAAUGUAAUUCUGUCAUCCCAAAUAAGGAUUCUCAAGCAGAGUUGCAUUCACCACAUGUCUGAGAAAUGAUGAAGAGGAACUGAAGAACGGGAAUAAAAGAUGAAUGGAAGAACUGCAGUAUUUGUGCCAGAGGAGAAACAGUCAGAAUAUUCAGAGAGGGUGAGCAUGACUUGGCUGUCUCAGAGUCAGAACUGGCACAGAUGGAAAUUAUGAUUUGCAGAUGAAAAACCAGCAGAGAAGAAAAGACUAAGAUGCUCAUCCUUUCUCACCAUACAGUCUGCAGGCAGAAGCUUUUCUCUUUCCCAAACAGUUAAAACUCUGUUUGGACAUGACACAAACUUCGGAUCGGCAGAGGCAGGACCAGAAGAAGGAAG